UACGGAGGGUGCGAGCGUUGUCCGGAAUCACUGGGCGUAAAGGGCGCGUAGGCGGUCUGCUAAGCGUGUGGUGAAAGCUCGGGGCUCAACCCCGAGUCUGCCAUGCGAACUGGUGGACUAGAGCACUGUAGAGGCAGGUGGAAUUCCGGGUGUAGCGGUGGAAUGCGUAGAGAUCCGGAAGAACACCGGUGGCGAAGGCGGCCUGCUGGGCAGUUGCUGACGCUGAGGCGCGACAGCGUGGGGAGCAAACAGG
rnacentral:rRNA from 2 species